AGUUGAACAACCUGGAUCAUUCUGAACUUUUGAUAUGAAAUUAUAUUCAUCUCCGGUCCGUGUGUGAAAAACUUGUAAUCGAAUUGCAUUACCAUCAGUUUUAUUUGUGUUCGGUAUUUCAUUUCAGUGAUUUCUUUCAGCGAAUAAUUUUCUCGCGAGUGUAAGUGAUAAAGUGAUUAGUUGAACAACCCUGCCCUCCGCUAGUUUUUGUCUGCCGAAAGUUCGCACUGAACUGAAGGAUACCCUACAUAAGGAUAUUGUGUGAGAUUUUCCAGCUUCACUUCUUGCCUGUUUCAAAACUAUGAGUCGCUGAAGUAAUUAUUUUGUGGUCCCUCCAACAUUCGUCAAGGCGGCGUACGAAAACUGCGAAUUUUCACAUUGCAUCAGAGCUGUUCCUGAAUUUACGGAUCAUCGCUUC